rnacentral:rRNA from 1 species
GACGAACGCUGGCGGCGUGCCUAAUACAUGCAAGUUGAGCGCUGAAGGUUGGUACUUGUACCAACUGGAUGAGCAGCGAACGGGUGAGUAACGCGUGGGGAAUCUGCCUUUGAGCGGGGGACAACAUUUGGAAACGAAUGCUAAUACCGCAUAAAAACUUUAAACACAAGUUUUAAGUUUGAAAGAUGCAAUUGCAUCACUCAAAGAUGAUCCCGCGUUGUAUUAGCUAGUUGGUGAGGUAAAGGCUCACCAAGGCGAUGAUACAUAGCCGACCUGAGAGGGUGAUCGGCCACAUUGGGACUGGGACCCGGCCCAAACUCCUACGGGAGGCAGCAGUAGGGAAUCUUCGGCCAUGGACGAAAGUCUGACCGAGCAACGCCGCGUGAGUGAAGAAGGUUUUCGGGUCGUAAAACUCUGUUGGUAGAGAAGAACGUUGGUGAGAGUGGAAAGCUCAUCAAGUGACGGUAACUACCCAGAAAGGGACGGCUAACUACGUG